GUGGGGAAUAUUGGGCAAUGGGGGAAACCCUGACCCAGCAACGCCGCGUGAAGGAAGAAGGUUUUCGGAUCGUAAACUUCUAUCCUUGGUGAAGAUAAUGACGGUAGCCAAGAAGGAAGCCCCGGCUAACUACGUGCCAGCAGCCGCGGUAAUACGUAGGGGGCAAGCGUUGUCCGGAAUGAUUGGGCGUAAAGGGCGCGUAGGCGGCCUGGUAAGUCUGGAGUGGAAGUACUGCUUUUAAGGUGGGAAUUGCUUUGGAUACUGUCGGGCGUGAGUGCAGGAGAGGUAAGCGGAAUUCCCGGUGUAGCGGUGAAAUGCGUAGAGAUCGGGAGGAACACCAGUGGCGAAGGCGGCUUACUGGACUGUAACUGACGCUGAGGCGCGAAAGUGUGGGGAGCAAACAGGAUUAGAUACCCCUGUAGUCC
rnacentral:rRNA from 1 species